rfam:Strongylocentrotus purpuratus Contig55884_fixed, whole genome shotgun sequence.
GUGAUGGCCUGGUGGUAGAGUAGCUGCCCGGCAAGCAGUAGAUGCAGGUUCAAGUCCUGCUGGUUACA